rnacentral:lncRNA from 1 species
GCAUGAUGGAUGCCAAUAUGUUACAGCCAAGUCUAGCUCGAUCAUAGUGAGUAAAAAACCGCGGCUAGUAAAUACCACCUGUCAUGUAGAACCGGCCAUCUCAUGCAAAGGAUAGCCAAGUCAGCCGCACAGAAGUUGCAGUGCAGCAAUGAUACGCUGCUACCAAGACGAUUUAGUUCGCCUUACGUAGUCAUAAACAUAGUGCACUUGCGCUAUGACAUUGUCGAAGUCAGACCAGAAUUGCAACAAAUCAAAUUCCUAUAGGCAGCAAACUUCUGCAGAUCGAGUUUUGCUUUGCUGCACUGAAGACUGGCUAUCCUGGACAAAGUCGAUAAUUCACGGCCAGCAUUUGUGAAUACUUGUUGAUUCAGGCUAGUUUGCAAGCAAGGCUUCCUCCCUUUGCUUGCCUGCGUGAACAAAGUCGAUAAUUGCAUCACAGAAUUCCUGUUAUUUUUCUUUGCAAAAAA